CGAGUUAAUGGGUGCAGCACACCAGCAUGGCACAUGUAUACAUGUGUAACUAACCUGCACAUUGUGCACAAGUACCCUAAAACUUAAAGUAUAAUAAUAAUAAAAUAAAAUAAAAUAAAGAGAUUUACAUGCAAGAAAAGAAAAGCACGUAAAAAGGUGUGUUUUAAUGUCAUAGUGAGAGAUAUUAUAAUUUAUAUAGUUUAUAAAAUGUGGAGAUAACUAAUACAAUGUAAAGUGAUAAAUGAAACAUAGAUUAAAUUCACACAGUGCUAGGUUUUUGAAAACAUUUUAUUUUAACUCAACUUGUGUCUAAAGUAUAAUAUGGUUGCAUGAAAAAAGAAAUCUAAUGCAGGAAGCAUCUUGUCCCCUGAUAUUUUAGUAGUCACUUGCUGAAUUACAGUCUUGUUACUUUGGGAAACACUAAUAUAUAAAAUUAAAUUAUUAACCAACUAAAAUAUGAAUAAAUGAAGGAAAAUUGUAGAAAGCCAAAUGGAGAUUACCUAUAUGAUAAAACUUUAUUUAUUAUGUUUGAAAAAAGUAGAAAUAAGAAAUGCAUAGAUUUUAGACUUGGUGUAUAGAUCAGUAGCAUGAACUGUGAAGGAUGAGGGUCUCAAAUUCUGUUUUGACUCUCUUGGUGAGACUAGAUUCACAAUGUAAAAGGUAGAACAAAUGUUAGUGAGAGGAAACCUCAAGCAGAUGAAGGCAUUGUAAUGUGGUAUCCAGAUACUCCAAAUGAAUAUGUAUAUUUAUGAUCAAUUAGUUAAAAAUUAAAUCUCUGAAUUAUUUUUGUAAUCUUUGAGAAACUAUGGCUACUGGAGGAAGAAGAGGGAGAAGGUGAACUCCAUAAACUAUAAAUAGGCUUAGCGUGAAAGACUGCCACUGGCUAUCUUAGUCUUGUAUUUCCUUUACCAUCCAUGGUACCAGAGAAGGAAGAGUGUUUCUCUUUAUGGCCUCAGCAAAAAUUCUGUGGAAGGUGUUGAUUGACCCGAUUUGGGCCAUGUCCUACAAUCAUGGAGGCCAGAGCCAUUGGAUAUUUCAAUUGGCCGGGCUGAGAGCUACAGAACAUCCCUGUAGUGAACAAUGAAGAGAUUCUGGAGGCCAGAAAUUUGAAAUGAGUCUUAUGGAGCUGAAAUCAAGCACAAACCAAAGCUGGGCUUCAUCUGGAUGCUCUAUGAAAGAUUCCUUUGCUCGCCUCUUCCAAUUCCUGGUGGUUGCUGGCAUUCCUUGCAUUGUAGACUCGUCAUCCCAACGUCUUCCUCCUUGGCCCCAUUGCCUUCUCCUCUCCUGUGUGGGCAUCAUCAACUCUCCCUUUCCCUCCCUCUUAAAAGGAUAUGAAUGUGACUGCUUUAGGACCUACCUGGAUAAUUCAGAAUAAUCUCCCCAUCUCAAGACCCUUAACAUAAUCACAUAUGCAAAGAACUUCUCUUUUCUUUAAUCAUAUGAGUUAACAUGUACAAAUUUCAGAGAUGAGAACAUGGAUAUCUUUAGGGUGCCAUUUUUUCAGUCCAUUGGAAAUGGUAGAUGUGGAAGAAGAGGAGCUAAAAUUCAAUCAGACUAGGGGUCUGCAAUCUGUAGCCUGCAAGUCAGUGCCUGUUUUUGUAAAUAAAGUUUUAUUGGAGCACAGCCAUGCCAGUUUUUUUGCAUGUUGUUUAUGGCUGCUUUCCUGCUACCUGGAAGAGUUGAGUGGUUGUAACAGUAACCAUAUGGUCCUCAAAGCUGAAAAUGUUUACUGUCUGGCCCUUUACAGAAAAAGCUUGCCAGUCCCUGGGUUAGAUCAAGAAUGUGGCAAAUCAUACUGGGGAGAUUAUAAGGUUUUAAUUUAAAGUUCAGCAGCAGACAAGUGAGGGUAAGAACUUCAGUGGAUGAAAAACCUACAAAAUACCAGUAGAUUUUACAGUUAGACUUUGGUAGUUUUGGGUAGACAUAUUUCAUUGAAAUGGUGAAAGUGGA
rnacentral:lncRNA from 1 species